AAAGCCGGUCAGACAACCGCUGCCACGCGAGCCCUCUUCGGGGGGCAUAAAUGGGAGAGGAAAGUCCGGGCUCCACAGAGCAGGAUGCCGGCUAACGGCCGGCCGCCGCGAGGCGAGGAACAGGGCCACAGAGACGAGCGUAUUAAGUUACGGUGAAACGCGGUAACCUCCAUCCGGAGCAACACCAAAUAGGCAGACGAUGACGCGGCUCGCCGAGUCUGCGGGUAGGUGGCUGGAGCCGGCCAGCAAUGACCGGCCUAGAGGAAUGGUUGUCCACGACAGAACCCGGCUUAUCGACCGACUUUCCAU
rnacentral:RNase_P_RNA from 1 species